rnacentral:tRNA from 1 species
CCUGCCAUGGCUGAGACGGUAAAGCGUCUGCCUACAAUGCAGGAGACCCGGGUUCAAUCCCUGGGUCGGGA